AUGCGCGUCUUCUAACUGGAAAAGAUGACGGUCUCCAAAACCGUUGAUGGGGGUUCGAGUCCCUUCGCGCAUGCCA
rnacentral:tRNA from 1 species